GUCUCCAAGCGCUCCUAUCCAAAGCUAUCUCUUUAGAGAUAUUCCAAUCCUUAAGGUCUCUCUUAACCGACUCAUCUGGCUAUUCAUUGCACUAUUCUGUAUAUUUGUUUCUCUGUGUCUUAAGUUCACAUACGUUGCACUAAGGUUGCGAUUUGAUGCAGGCAUUUUUUUUUGUUAUUUUGAGCUUGUAAAUUUGAAGUUCCCUUGAUUGGUUAUUCGCUUGUAGCAGUUGUUUUUUUUUUUGCAUUCUUGUGAAAUAUUUGUAGAAGUGUAAAUCUUAGCCAUUUUUUUUUACGGAUGUUGCUUAAUGUAAGUCAGUUAUUUCCUUAUGAUAUAUCUAAUUUGAGUUGUUUCUAAAUUAGGAUAUGGCAAAGAUUUAUAUCUCCGAGUUUGUUUUGCUGCAACUUGGUAUUUGGGGCAUCAGGAUCGUCUUUUGCUGUGUUCAAUGUUAAAGGAUUUUUAUAAUCGGUCUAUCAUUGUUGGUGUUAUUCUUCAACGUGUUAUAGGCCACAAUAACUUUCACAUUAUUUCGGAUGAUAUUGGAUAGUUUGUAUUUGUGGUAUUCCAGAAUUUGGCUGAUGCUAUAGUUCUUCAUAAUCGUAGGUUUAAGUGGUCAGAAGAACGUGUUGUGUGUACUCGUGUUGAGCAUUUGGAGAUAAUCAUGAAUGUUAGUUCUGAUGAAAGUUAUGUAGUGAAGGAGUACUGUGUUUCUGCAAGUCUUAUUAUGUCUGAUUUCUUUAGUAAUUAUAAAGGUACAAUGAUGUUGGAUUGGUUUACAAUGGAAAUGGUUUUUUCUUAUUGUUGUUGUAUUCUGAUUUUUAAUUCUGUAUGGAAGACUAUAGGUACUACUUCUAAUCUCAAAUUUUUGUUCUAUAAAUUGUUGGGAAAAUUGUGUUAUGGCAAUGGACUUGUCUACUGUUGAAGAGCUUUGUUGUAAAUUUGGGCCUGUUGAAUUUAUAAUCUAGGCUGAUGCUAGAGUUUCUAUUGAGAAGCAUGUGGAUCUGUGUUAUUUGGUGAACCCAGUGUUACUGUUGCUUGUUCUUGAAGGCAAUUAUUGUAUUGCAAUCCUCCACAAUGGGAAUUUUUUGGGUGAAUUGUAGUACUGCUUUUAACAGCCAACAUUUAUUGUAUCAUGGCCGUCAUUUUGGCAACAAUAUCAUUUUGAUGCUAUUUAAUGGAGCAAUUAGUUGUGAUGGUUGCAGAUAGUGAUGAUUCACAAAUAUUGCUUGAUGAUGAUUUGCUUAUACAUGUUGUCGCUGAAAAGAGGAAGCAAUGUCUCAGUAGUGCAUUUGAUGGUUCUUAUGUUUCUGCAGAUAAUUUGAUUCUUAAUGAAAGUUGGUUUCUUAGAUAUGAACAAGUCUUUAUGUUAUGGAUAGAAGCCUAAUUUCCCUGAAUGUACCCUUCUUGAUCUCCAACGUGGUUAUGUAGCCAAUCCAGGAAUGCUAAUGUGAGUUUCUUUUUUUAAUCAGUUGGACAAUCUUUGUGAUUUUGUUUCUCUCUAACAGUGAUAAUUUUAGAUUUAUUCAUUAGUUAAAUUCAAAGCUCUCCAAAACUGUUUGCGUCAUGGUGAUUUCUUUAGAUUAGUACUUUAUAAUUUGUCUUGUUGCUUUGAUUUCGAUUUAUGAUUGUUUUAUGAAAUUCAAUAAGGAAGAGUUAAAUUUGUCCACCAUGCGAAAAAGGAUGUAAGCAUUUUCCUUGUUUCUAUUUCUAUUUUUAAGGAUACUAGUUUUUUGAAUUAAGAAUUUGUAGGUUGUAUUAGUAGUUGAACUGAGGCUUCAUGGAUAUGUGAGUUUUAUUUCUUGUUGUACUAAUUUGGACAGUGUUGUGUGAUUUUGUUUUUAUCUAGGUUCACUCAUCGGCUAAAUUCAAAGCUCCCCAAAAUUAUCUGUGUCAUGGUGAUUCCUUUAGAUCAAUACUUUGUAAUUUGUCAUAUUAUUUUUAUUGUUAUUAAUGUAUGUUUGAAAAAAAUUGCAGAAGAGUAAGGUAGAUUUGCCAAGUAGGGUGACAAUUAUGUGAGUUUUUUUUUGUCUCUAUUUCUGGCUUGAAGGGGAUUAAUGCUGAAUUUGAAAUUUGUAGGUUUUGUAAGCAAGCCUUCAUGUAAAUUUUCCUAAUCAUGGUGAGAAUUUUAUUAUUAGUAAUAUUCUUAUUAUAUAUGAUUUGUUUUUGUAAUUUUGUUUUCUCAGUCUUUGAUAUAGAACUUCAAAAGUAUGUGAGAAUUAGGAAUAAUGAUUGUCAACCGAGAGAUCAGAAAGGUAUUGAUGGUUUUACUUUUCAUCAAUGUUAUUUUAUAAGUUUGAUUUAAUUUUAUUUUGUAGAUUAUAAUUGCAUUCCAAAAUAUAAAAGUUUUGCCAAAGAGUGGUCAAUAUCUCAUCAAGCUUCAAAUGGGAGACCUUAAUGCAGCUUGACUGGUAUUCAUUCCAGUAAGAAGUCUACUAAAGUGGUUAACGUCCCUGAUUUCGAGGAUGAUGAAAUGAAAGUUUUAAAAUCCAAGGUGAAGCCGAAUUGGCAGCGUGAGGUGGUUGCAUGUGAAUUAUAAUAUUCUAGGAAGUUUCAUGAAGUCGGGUUCUCAGGUUGGCAAUUUUGUUGUGAAUGCAUUGUGCCAAAAAUAUUUUAUGGAUGAUAGGCCUAAUAUAUGGAAGAAGCAUUAUUUCCUUUCUAGUGUUGGGGCAAUCCAUGUGAAGGAUAUUGAACAAUCAAAUUUGCAAGAGAAAAAUCGGAGCUGAGUUAUGCUUUGGAAUGGAGGAUAUAUCCCAAGGCCCCAAAUUGCCUUUGUUAUAUCAUGCCAUAUGCUGCUGCAAAUUAAAUUCCAUGCCAAUAUUUUUUAUGGUAUUGUAUCAUUGUGUUCGGAUCAACAUCUUUGUAUGCAGAAUUGGAAGAGAGCUAUACAUAGUCAAGAAGUAAAUCAAGCAAGUAUCUGCAAAAAUUACAGGAUCUAGGAUGUUUUGAAGGGGAAGGUACUUCUUAUGUAGGAUAAAUAGCAGAACUCUGUUGGUCCAAAGUUCUAACCGGGAUCCUUUUGCAGGUUUGUUUAUCUCUACUUCUUGUCUAUAGAUGAAAUAGAUUAUAGAUGAGCCUACAAUCAAUGCUAUCUUGAACUGCAUGAGUAUUGGCCCUGGUUUGCUAUCCAUGCCUUUUUGUUUUUUUUAGAUGGUCUCUUAUUGUGAUUAAUGAUGCUCAUUGUAUUUCUGGAUGGUGAGUUGAUACCUACUUGUAGCCACUAGAUAUACUGCACACUAGAGAGUUCUUGGCCUUUUUUAAUAAAGAAGUUCUUUAAUCUCUAAAGGUGAUGAUACUGUUGUUGGACAGAAAAGAAAUCGUUUCCAAAAAUCCAUGCAACUUUGUUUAACUGGAUAGCAAUAUGAGUUACACAGUCUUGAUUUUAAUUCAUUGGAACUUGGGUAAUCUUUGAUGGAUAGCAACUUGAGUUACACAGUCAAUUGCGCAAUGGGGAGGGAGGGGGGGGUCUGGAACUCCAAGGGCACUGCGAUUAGCCACGAAUCUGCGAUUUCUGCCAAAUUAGGUUUCAGCUCUGGAUGCAACUGAAUGCAUUCGCCGCAGUUUGUUUGCUUAGGAAGUUUUGGUUUAUCUGGUUCGGGAGUUCUGAUGCUGGUUAGGCGUGCCCCUCUGAAUCACACUCUCAUUCGAUUCUGUCUCAGUGUCCAAUAGCUUUCAAUUUCCGGGGCCUAUAGCAGCUAUUCCUAUGCUUGAUCUGAAAGAGAAUGAUAUGUUCUAUUCGAUCUCUAAGUCUUCACUUUAUGUGCUCUUCUAACCCACAUUCUGUAAUAGUGCUGAUUUGACUCCUGGAGGGAAUCAUGAGUCUACUAUUUACCUCUUUGCACCCAUCAAAAUUUUCUUACGUGUUUACCAAAUAUGGUAGGAAUUUUGUUUCGUGCUGUUUCCUCGAGCCUUACAUGGUUGGUAUGAACCCAGACUCGAAGAUUCAUGUGGAAGGAGUGGCAGCCACAGUUACAGGUCUGGGCAUAAGAGAUGUUUGUUCCCAUGUUAGAUAACAGGUCCGAUCUUGAGAAGCCCUUUGCAGAUCCUGGGAUGUGCAAUGCUCAAUUUGCACAUGAAAAUGAUACCAGUAAUUUAUCCUGUGAGUUAUGCGGUGUACUUCGUGAUCUGUCGCUGUAUUUCAAUAAUAUCAGUGAAGCUGAAGCUGGAGAACUCAUGCUAAGCGCAGAAACAAAUAUUUUGGAGUAUCUGUACUGGCAAGAUCUCUUGUUACAACAUCUAAUUCAAAGUCAAAGGCUAUUAUUGUCUCUGAUGGCUCCCAAGAGAAUACAAAUGCAACAGAGAAUAAGCAAGCUACCAUGAAUGCUCUGCAUAAGACAUACAUGCCCAGCAAAAAGCGCCACAUUAACAUAGGUACCCUACAUUGCUACAGCUACACUCAGCAGUUCUACUUUGUGUAAGUUAGUUUUCUUAGUGAAAUAUGUAAACCAAAUUCUUCUUGCAUAUAAGAGUUGCGGAUUGAAUUUAUAAACUAGCAAUACAUAAAUUUGUGGAUUGAGUUUAUAAGAGUCCAGUAAUAUCAGCAUUGGAAUGUGCUUUAUCCAGGCCUAUCUUGAGUUCCUGUCCCUUAUAGUUUGGACAAAUCUAUGUUGUAUCGACUUGUUUGUUGUUCCUAA